UGAACGCUGGCGGCAGGCCUAACACAUGCAAGUCGAAUGGUAACAGGAAACAGCUUGCUGUUUCUCUGACGAGUGGCGGACGGGUGAGUAAUGUCUGGGAAACUGCCUGAUGGAGGGGGAUAACUACUGGAAACGGUAGCUAAUACCGCAUAACGUCGCAAGACCAAAGAGGGGGACCUUCGGGCCUCUUGCCAUCAGAUGUGCCCAGAUGGGAUUAGCUAGUAGGUGGGGUAACGGCUCACCUAGGCGACGAUCCCUAGCUGGUCUGAGAGGAUGACCAGCCACACUGGAACUGAGACACGGUCCAGACUCCUACGGGAGGCAGCAGUGGGGAAUAUUGCACAAUGGGCGCAAGCCUGAUGCAGCCAUGCCGCGUGUAUGAAGAAGGCCUUCGGGUUGUAAAGUACUUUCAGCGGGGAGGAAGGGAGUAAAGUUAAUACCUUUGCUCAUUGACGUUACCCGCAGAAGAAGCACCGGCUAACUCCGUG
rnacentral:rRNA from 1 species